rnacentral:rRNA from 1 species
GAGUGGAAAAACUCCCUUGACGGUACUUAAUGAAUAAGCCCUGGCUAAUUAUGUGCCAGCAGCCGCGGUAAUACAUAAGGGGCGAGCGUUAUCCGGAAUUAUUGGGCGUAAAGGGUGCGUAGGCGGUUUAAUAAGUCUAUAGUUUAAUUUCAGCGCUUAACGCUGUUGCGCUAUAGAAACUGUUUUACUAGAGUGAGUUAGAGGCAAGCGGAAUUCCAUGUGUAGCGGUAAAAUGCGUAAAUAUAUGGAGGAACACCAGAGGCGUAGGCGGCUUGCUGGGACUUUACUGACGCUGAGGCACGAAAGCGUGGGGAGCAAACAGGAUUAGAUACCCUGGUAGUCCACGCCGUAAACGAUGAGUACUAAGUGUCGGGUAAAACCGGUACUGAAGUUAACACAUUAAGUACUCCGCCUGAGUAGUACGUACGCAAGUAUGAAACUUAAAGGAAUUGACGGGACUCCGCACAAGCGGUGGAUCAUGUUGUUUAAUUCGAAGAUACACGAAAAACCUUACCAGGUCUUGACAUUUUCUUGCGAAGUUAUAGAAAUAUAAUGGAGGUUAUCAGGAAAACAGGUGGUGCAUGGUUGUCGUCAGCUCGUGUCGUGAGAUGUUAGGUUAAGUCCUAAAACGAGCGCAACCCUUGUCGUUAAUUGCCAGCAUGUAAUGAUGGGGACUUUAACGAGACUGCCAAUGAAAAAUUGGAGGAAGGUGGGGAUUACGUCAAAUCAUCAUGCCCCUUAUGAUCUGGGCUACAAACGUGAUACAAUGGUUGAUACAAAGAGUAGCUGAAACGCGAGUUCUUAGCCAAUCUCACAAAAUCAAUC